CGUUGUGCAAAAUGGCGACGCCCAGUUUACGCGGCCGCCUUGCGCGGUUUGCGAACCCGGGGAAACCUAUCCUGAAACCCAACAAGCCUCUUAUCUUAGCUAAUCGCGUUGGGAACCGACGCCGAGAGAAGGGCGUUCUUCCCCUCCAGAGGCAACUUGUAUCACGGAGAUGUCAAUGAUGAUGGCUUGCUGGAAGCAGAAUGAAUUCCGCGACGAGGCGUGCAGGAAAGAGAUCCAGGACUUCUUCGAUUGUUCUUCCAAGGCUCAGGAAGCUGGGAAGAUGAGAUCAAUCCAGGAGACUCUGGGACAGUCUGGAAGUUUACCUCCCCACAAAAUGACUAAGUUGUUACAGAGAUUUCCCAAUAAAUCUCAUCUGAGCUGAAAAUGGAGAAACAUUUUCAACGAACUCUCAUUUCUGAAAGCUACACAGAGGCGUAUUAGGGAUGUUUGCAUGCAUUGCCAUGCGUUUUUGAAGGGUAAAAUGAGGCAAAACACUCAAUUUUGCUCUUCUGAAUGAAUCGUGUUCUGGAUACGUGUCUUGAAAUAAAACCCUCUAAAAAG
rnacentral:lncRNA from 1 species